ACGUAGGUGGCAAGCGUUAUCCGGAAUUAUUGGGCGUAAAGGGUGCGUAGGCGGCCGAUUAAGUCUGAAGUAAAAGCCAGUGGCUCAACCACUGUAAGCUUUGGAAACUGGUUGGCUAGAGUGCAGAAGAGGCAAGUGGAAUUCCAUGUGUAGCGGUAAAAUGCGUAGAUAUAUGGAGGAACACCAGUGGCGAAGGCGGCUUGCUGGUCUGUAACUGACGCUGAGGCACGAAAGCGUGGGGAGCAAAUAG
rnacentral:rRNA from 1 species